UCCAAUCAACACUACACCCUACACCAUACCUUGUCUUUUUAAACAACCCCCAAAAUCAGCUUUAAGCUUUAAGCCAUGCCUAAAGGCAGGCUGUCUACACUCUUUCCAGCCACCCUACCAGCCCCAAAUUUCACUUUCCAGCCAUGCCUAAGGGCAGGCUGUCAAAUUUCAUUGCUUAAGCACGUUCAAGCCAAUUUCAGUUGGCAUUCUCAAUACCCAAAAUUUUCAGACUUUCUUUUCACAGCAAGAAUUCAAGUGCAGAGCGGCCAUAGCUCGAUUCCAGCAACCAAACCAAGUUCCUAAAGGCUUUGUGGACCAAGGGGAUUAGCACUGCUUUCCCAAGACAGGUUAUGUGAUUAUGAUCUUCAGGCUUUGCCUAUCCAGGUGGGCUUACUUUCCAAAUGUACAAAGUAUGAUUGAGUUAUUAAGCUCUAAAUGUUUCAAUGAAAUGCAAAUUGUUUAUUUAAUGUAAUGAAAACUGUUUAUCCAAUAAAAUGUUUAUGUGCACUCUGCUCUGUUUAAGGCUCGCAUAAGUUAAUCGAUCGAGGUUCUCUCUUGACCUAACACGUUAUUUGAGAAUUGUGUACACCUAUUAGUUGACCUGGUGGGUUGAUCUCCAUCGGGCACUAAUCAUGUAUGAGGCGUUAUAAGGGUGCUCGACGGGAUGUGUUCCGGAGCAUUGGGUCCCAAAUGGGAACUUGGCUGGGUUACGCCCUCAGUCCAAGAAAGCGGGAGUAAUGGAUCCGUCGGUGGCUAAAAUGUCCGGGAUCACAUCGAGUAACAGAAAGGGAGUGUGACAUGUGCGCACAAAUGAAAGAAAAUGUUUUAACAUGCUUAGAAGUACUUCUUUCAAUUUAAAACCUUAUAAGUCAUGUCAAGUAUGAUUGGAUAAACUGUCUUAUUAAAAUAUGAAAUGUUUCAGAAAAUGCAUGCCCACUAAGUACAUUAGUACUUAGCCCAAAAAUACUUUCAAAUGUUUUCAGGUUGGCUGGCCGGUGCUGACGGGACGGAGCUGAGGCUAGAGUUAAAUUCCUAUGUUAGACUUCCGCUGUAGCAAUUACUCAUAUUAGUCUUUUGUUUUCCCAACUUAAGAUCUUCAUGUUAAAUUUCAAAUGAUAUACCUGACCGAGCUUAGACUCUUCACUACUUAAUUUAUGCCAAUGAAUGUCGGUUGUCAGAAGCAUGAAACAAAACUUGUGAUCCAAAGGGGCAUAGCCCGACUUUCUAUCCUAUUUCGGGUUUUUACAAGGUUGUUCCUUGUUUAUUUCUA